rnacentral:lncRNA from 1 species
AACACGAUUACUGGUCCACCUAGAAAUGCCGUGGAGCGAUUUAAGAGCCUCGGAAAUUUCCUUUAAGGUCAGGAGAGAAGCUGGUAACAGAUGGGGCGAAGGAGGAAAAGUUCUUUUUGCGGCACCCUCACGCCUUCCCAGCCCUUUCGCGGUUUACUCGCUCCCCGGAAAGCAGACUAGUCUCACUCUGUUGCCCAGGCUGGAGUGCAGUGGCGCGAUCUCAGCUUACUUCAGCCUCCGCCUCCCGGUUUCAAGUGAAUUCUCCAGCCUCAACUUCACAAGUAGCUGGGAUUACAGGGCAUUCAAGCAGCCCUGAGGAGAGGUCCACAUGGUGAGCCACUGAGGGCCUUGCCAAGAGCCAGCACCAACGGUCCAGGUUUGGAGUGUACCACCUUGGAAGUGAAUCUUCCAGUCCAGUCAAGCCUUCAGAUGACUUCAGAACCGUCCAUGUAAGCCACUCUUGGAUUCCUGACCCACAGAAACUGUUGGAGCUGCCAAUUUGCAGGAAAUAGAGGAGAGAAGCAUCUGUUGAACUGCACCAUGAGUAUACACUCAGCAAAGGCCAAACUGUGGAAAAUGAUACAGGUCAAACAGCCUGGAUUCUUUAACAGACGGAGUCUCACUCUGUCACCCAGCCUGAAGUGCAAUGGUACAAUCUCAGCUCACUGCAACCUCCGCCUCCCGGGCUCAAGCAAUUCUCCUGCCUCAGCCUCCUGAAUAGCUGGGAUUACAGGCACGCGCCACCACGCCCAGCUAAUUUUUGUAUUUUUAGUAGAGACGGGGUUUCACCAUGUUGCCCAGGCUGGUCUUGAACUCCUGACCUCAGGUGAUCCACCCACCUCAGCCUCCCAAAGUGCUGGGAUUACAGGCAUGAGCCACCGUGCCUGGCCUUUUGUAUCUGUUUUAUUUUUUAAAUAAUAAGAUUAAAAAUAAAUAUUCUGCAUGAUUAAACAAAUACAGAUUUAAAUUUUUACAGUCCAAUUGAGUGAUUUCCUCAUGUUCCAAAACCAGGAAGUAGGUGUGGGACAUCUAUCUCCGUAUUGCAUACACAGUCUGGAUUCUAGUUGUAGACUCCAUAUGGGCUGUCAUACACGCUACUACAGAAAUGAGAGAAAUCCUUGGGAAAUGGAACCAUCUCACACAUGAGAGACAUCUCUGACAACUUAUUCAUAACUGAAUACUUCUCAUUUAUCUUUACCAGUAAGUGAUGUUUCUGAAGCACCAAUGAAAAUGAAGUCCUGAAGUCCUGUGCUCAAUAUGAAAUGUUGGAAGUUAGAAGAAAAAAACAAAACUUGGAUCCAAUCUCAAGGCACUUUUUGUUUAAUGGGAAGAAGUGGAUUAUUUUAAAAGCUACAAAUAAAGUUACAUAAAAGUAGCAAA